rnacentral:rRNA from 1 species
UAGGACUGGCCGUCCCAUAUGAAAAGAUUAUAUUAGAAUUGAAUGAAGCUUUGUUUAUAUAUUGAUUCUCGUCAAAAGAUAUAUCGUGUCUUGACUAAUUGCGUGCCAGCAGUCGCGGUAAUACGUAAGAGACUAGUGUUAUUCAUCUUAAUUAGGUUUAAAGGGUACCCAGACGGUCAAUAUAGCUUAUAAAAUGUUAGUACUUGACUAGAGUUUUAUGUAAGAGGGCAGUACUUGAGGAGGAGAGAUGAAAUUUCGUGAUACCAAAGGGACUCUGUAAAGGCGAAGGCAGCCCUCUAUGUAAAAACUGACGUUGAAGGACGAAGGCACAGAGAACAAACAGGAUUAGAUACCCAAGUAGUCUUUGCAGUAAAUGAUGAAUGCCAUAGGUUAGAUGGGUGGGCUCGUCUAGUUGAGUUAGUUUAGCAAACUAAUGAUCUAGACGAGCCCACCGUAUAUUUGGUCUAUAAAUGAAAGUGUAAGCAUUUCACCUCAAGAGUAAUGUGGCAACGCAGGAACUGAAAUCACUAGACCGUUUCUGACACCAGUAGUGAAGUAUGUUAU